AAACACUAAGGAAAGUAAAAAAAUAUUUUUUGGUAUUUUUAUGAACAAAUAAAAUAUUUUAUUAAUUUAAAAUGAAAACAGAAAAAUAAAAAUGAAUUGAAAAAAUAAAAUGGAAUGGAAUUGGGCUUUGAAUGUGGAGGGCAAAUAGCAUCCAGCGCUAAGCCCAGGCCCAGCGAAAUGAAAACAAACGUGUGACAUAAAAUAAAAGAAAGAUAAUGUUUUAUUAUGU
rnacentral:lncRNA from 1 species